rnacentral:rRNA from 1 species
AACGAACGCUGGCGGCAUGCCUAACACAUGCAAGUCGAACGGGAUCCUAGCUUGCUAGGUGAGAGUGGCGGACGGGUGAGUAACACGUGGGAACCUGCCUUUUGGUUCGGGAUAACCGCGGGAAACUGCGGCUAAUACCGGAUGCUCCCGAGAGGGGAAAGAUUUAUCGUCAGAAGAGGGGCCCGCGUCCGAUUAGGUAGUUGGUGAGGUAAAGGCUCACCAAGCCGACGAUCUGUAGCUGGUCUGAGAGGACGACCAGCCACACUGGGACUGAGACACGGCCCAGACUCCUACGGGAGGCAGCAGUGGGGAAUUUUGGACAAUGGGCGCAAGCCUGAUCCAGCCAUUCCGCGUGCAGGAUGAAGGCCCUCGGGUUGUAAACUGCUUUUGUACGGAACGAAACGCGCCGGGUUAAUACCUCGGCGUAAUGACGGUACCGUAAGAAUAAGCACCGGCUAACUACGUGCCAGCCGCCGCAGUAAAAC